UACAGAUCAAGCGAGAGAGGGCGCGAGAGGGGGUUGCGGGUCGGAGGCGAGAGGGCAUGAGAGGGGGUGCCGAGUCCGAGGCGAGAGGGCGUGAGAGGGGGUGGCGGGUCGGAGGUGAGAGGGCGUGAGGAUGGGCCUAGAUCGGGGGAGCGAGGAAGCGAGAGAGAGGCGAGGAAUGGAGGAAGGGUUCAGGCAGUUGGGAGAUGGAGAGGAGAGAGAGAGAGAGAGAGAGAAAGGGAAAAGUUGAGAUCGAGUUUGGGUUCCCCCCAAAUUUUCCCCUGUACGGCUCGGGAAGGAAACGGUGCUCCGUUAGCGCUAAUUGUCGCUGCAUUCUUCCCCUCAUCUGCACGGAUCGCGAAGCAAUUCGACGGCUAAGAAAUCGGUAGCAACUUUGGUGUUUUGCUACUAAUAGCACCCCAGUUCAACUCAUAUAGAGUUGAGCUAGAAUACUAUCGGUAGUAAACGAGCCGUUUUACUAUCAAUUUGUUUUCGAUGAUAGAGCUUCCAAAUUGACGAUCGGCUCCGCUAAAUAUGAUCUAAACCAUUUAAACUACCUAGAAAUCAAAUUUCACGCACUUUCGAUAUUGUUCUUUUAUCCAUCAAGUGAACAGAAAAAUGAAUGGCUGAAAAUGAAUACUCUUUAAAAAAUGAUGAUAGGAGUCUUGUAAUCAAGAUCAAGAGUAUAGAUCUUGUUUUAAAUAGUUUAAAAAUUUUUCUAACAAAAAUUCAAUUGAUUUGUAUAUUUUUACGCCGUUAAACGAGAAAACGUCUCUUAUCGACCAUUAAAAUUACAAAUUUUGAAACCCUUUGAUCAUUAGGCAAAUGAUGUCGAAAAGAUUUGAAAUUUGAUUUCUAAACACUUCAAGUGGUAUAGAUCAUGUUCAACGGAGCCGAUCGUCAAUUUGGAAGUUCGAUCAUCGAAAACAAAUCGGUAGUAAAACGACUCGUUUACUACCGAUAGUAUUCUAGCUCAACUCUAUAUAUAUAUAUAUAUAGGGUUAAAUGCAUACAGGUCCUUGCAAACAUAGUCAAUUGCGGAUAUAUCCCUGCAAAAUGGAAACUCCAUAAGUUGUCCCUGCAAAAGUUCAACGUUAUGCAGAAUUGUCCCUACUGUUAGAGUCUGUUAGAGAAAGUUUGUUAACCAGAGUUAAACUACUUAACCAUGAAUAGUUAAUAAUGUG
rnacentral:lncRNA from 1 species